UUAAGCAAUGCUUAAGCCUACUGAAAUUUAAUUCUGUUGGCAAUAUUGCUUUGUUUCAUAGCUUUGCCUUCAUCCUAGUAGAGCCUUGUGUGGCGCAGAGUGGUAAGCGGCAGUUACUGCAGCCGAAACACCCCCAGGCCCUGAGUUCGAUCCCAGCAGAAGCUGGUUCUCAGGCAGCCGGCUCAGGUCGACUCAGCCUUCCAUCCUUCCGAGAAUGCAGAAAUCAAAAUGAAUCAAAGUAGAGGAUAAACAUCUUUGCAAAGAAGGUGCCCAGUACAUUAUUUGAUCAUAGGUUUCAUCAGACAAUUGAAUGACUACGAUCUAGCAAAAUAUUUUUAUGACAUGCAGGAGUAUUCAAAACAGAAAAGCAGCAUUUCAUCUCUUAGAUGUUCUGGAAAUGAAAAGGUCCAUUUGGCAACAUUUUCCAAUCA